rnacentral:rRNA from 1 species
CCUACGGGGGGCAGCAGUGGGGAAUAUUGCACAAUGGGGGAAACCCUGAUGCAGCGACGCCGCGUGAGUGAAGAAGUAUUUCGGUAUGUUAAGCUCUAUCAGCAGGGGAGAAAAUGACGGUACCUGAUUCAGAAGCCCCGGCUAACUACGUGCCAGCAGCCGCGGUAAUACGUAGGGGGCAAGCGUUAUCCGGAUUUACUGGGUGUAAAGGGAGCGUAGACGGCAGAACAAGUCUGGAGUGAAAUGCUGGGGCUCAACCCCGGAACUGCUUUGGAAACUGUGCAGCUAGAGUGCAGGAGAGGGAAGUGGAAUUCCUGGUGUAGCGGUGAAAUGCGUAGAUAUUAGGAGGAACACCAGUGGCGAAGGCGGCUUACUGGACUGUAACUGACGCUGAGGCUCGAAAGCGUGGGGAGCAAACAGGAUUAGAUACCCUAGUAGUC